rnacentral:rRNA from 1 species
AUACGUAGGUGGCGAGCGUUGUCCGGAAUUACUGGGCGUAAAGGAUGCGUAGGUGGAUAUUUAAGUGGGAUGUGAAAUCCCCGGGCUCAACCCGGGAACUGCAUUCCAAACUGGGUAUCUAGAGUGCAGGAGAAGAAAGCGGAAUUCCUAGUGUAGCGGUGAAAUGCGUAGAUAUUAGGAGGAACACCAGUGGCGAAGGCGGCUUUCUGGACGGAAACUGACACUGAGGCAUGAAAGCGUGGGUAGCAAACAGGAUUAGAUACCCUGGUAGUCCACGCCGUAAACGAUGGGUACAAGGUGUAGGAGGUAUCGACCCCUUCUGUGCCGUCUUUAACACAAUAAGUACCCCGCCUGGGGAGUACGGUCGCAAGACUAAAACUCAAAUGAAUUGACGGGG